rnacentral:rRNA from 1 species
AACGGCAGCACGGGAGCAAUCCUGGUGGCGAGUGGCGAACGGGUGAGUAAUAUAUCGGAACGUGCCCAGUCGGUGGGGGAUAACGUAGCGAAAGUUACGCUAAUACCGCAUACGAUCUAAGGAUGAAAGCGGGGGACUCGCAAGAGCCUCGCGCGAUUGGAGCGGCCGAUAUCAGAUUAGGUAGUUGGUGGGGUAAAGGCUCACCAAGCCAACGAUCUGUAGCUGGUCUGAGAGGACGACCAGCCACACUGGAACUGAGACACGGUCCAGACUCCUACGGGAGGCAGCAGUGGGGAAUUUUGGACAAUGGACGCAAGUCUGAUCCAGCCAUUCCGCGUGCAGGAUGAAGGCCCUCGGGUUGUAAACUGCUUUGUACGGAACGAAAAAGUUUCUAUUAAUACUAGGAGCUCAUGACGGUACCGUAAGAAUAAGCACCGGCUAACUACGUG